UAAAUAGAAAGAUAAAGUUGAAAAAAAGUUAAAAUGGCAAACCCUUUCUCUAUGAAAAUAUCUAAUAUUGUUCCCAGCACUGCAAACCACAAACAGAUCCAAUUUUUCGCUCAUAUCAGAAACAGAUGAAAUAAUCUGUUAAUCUUUUUUGUAUGUUCCCCAAAUCAAAAACCAUACAGUGAGUUGAGAAACUUCAUACUCAAAAUCUCAAAUCAAAAACCCUAAUUAAUCAGUGGUUACCUGAAAGGGAUGGUGGUGGCAGAUCUGGAGGUUGCAGUUGUAAUUUCAAAUACUACUUUUUAGGUACUUCAUGCAACAUAUAGCUCUUUGGGGAUCACCUGAUUUGUGAUGAGUGAAGAAUAUACCUGAUGCCGCGACGGUGGUGGUUCUGACGGUCUCCAGUAUUGUCUAUGUGUUCAUUCAGAUUUUCAUCAUGAGUUAUACUACUAUUAUUGCAGUUUCUGGUCAAAUAUGGCAUUGAGUUAUUUCUGAUGGGUUCAAGUCGAUCCACCACCAGCAGAUGGCGGUGAUGGAUAUAUAUACCUGAUGCAACGAUUGUGGCGGUCGAGGAUUCUGUUCUGUGACGGUGAAAUUCAGAUAAUGAAGGUGGUGGUGUGUUGCCGGAUGAUUAUUUGCAGUUCAGUAACAAUCCCCACUGUAAUGUUGGAUGGGUUCAUUGAGAUUUUCACAAUGAGUUCUGAGUUUUCUACCUUUGCAGUUUUGGGUCAAAUAUGGCAUUGGGUUGUUUGUGAUGAUUCAGUCGAUCCACUAGCAGGUAUUUUACUGGUUAAAAUUUUGAUAGGUACUUUACGCACGUGAAUGAUGUAAGUUCGAAAUUUAGUUCUGUCCUAUUCUCCUAGAGUAAUGAGUAAUAACAAAGGGUAUUGCUAAUAAGUGCCCUUAAGAGAAUGGUUAAGUAAAUAAAAAAGAGUAGUUUGACGUUGGAAACUAUAAUUUUUAAACUUUUAAAAAGUUGAAUUCAUCACAUUUUACUAUUUUCCAACAUAAUAUUUUUAUUAUUGUUCUCUUAACCAAUACCUUAAGGGCACUCUUAAACAUUUUCUAUAACGUAAUUUUUUUUGAGAAAUGCUAACCUGUGCCCUUAAAACACAAGUUAAUGAGUUAAAAGUGGAAAUAAUUUGUUCUAAUCAAUGCAUUUGAAAUUAAUUAUUUUACUUUUAAUUAAUAAAGUGCACAAAAUUUAAGAGAAUAUUUACUCUUUUGAAUUGCUUAACAUGUUCUGGGCACAAGUUAGCAUGACCCAAUUUUUUUUAUUCGAGGAAAGAAAGUAAUGACAAUAAAUUAUAGUUGGGUUUGAAUACACUUUUAGUCAUAUUAAUAAAUUUCUUUGCUUAUAAAAGAAAUAAAACUAUAAGUUAGUUUGAUUUUAAUACUUGGUCUUGGUGGCGUUGGCAUGACACCUUAAAAUGUGUUCUCCAACUUACAUUUGAUUAUUCUUAAUGUCAAUUGGGGAAUUUGGAUCCUCUCAUGCUAUUUCUCUCAUGUUGUCCAUCCUGCCUCGAUCUCAACCAUUCAUUAACUUGUUUUCUCUCUACUUUAUUGUUCUUUCCUUCAUGUAUGAACCAACCGUUGAUUUGAAAAAAGAGAAAGGGUUGAACUAAAAGGAUCGGAGAGGAUCCACAUUUAAAUUUGGGUAAUGUCCAUGAGUUCAUUCAGAUUUCAUCAUGUGCUUUUUUUUGAAGAAAUACUACUAUCAUUGCAGCUUCGGGUCAAAUAUGGCAUUGAAUAGUGACAAUCCAAGUCAAUCCACUAGCAGGAACCAGGCUUCAAAGAAAUAGCUAAAGAUCACCAAGUGGAAUCAGCAAAUAGAGAAUUGAAGAUAAAGAUCAUGCUUAAGAAAGGCAUCUGGUGUUAAAUUGUAAUUUCCUAUUUGUAUUUUGACUGUAUAUAAAGUUUAAUGCUCACAUCA